rnacentral:rRNA from 1 species
GCAGUCGAGGGGUAUAGGUUUUCGGAUCUAGAGACCGGCGCACGGGUGCGUAACGCGUAUGUAAUCUACCUUUUGCAGAGGGAUAGCCCAGAGAAAUUUGGAUUAAUACCUCAUAGUAUGCAGAGUUGGCAUCAACACUGCAUUAAAGUCACAACGGCAAAAGAUGAGCAUGCGUCCCAUUAGCUAGUUGGUAAGGUAACGGCUUACCAAGGCUACGAUGGGUAGGGGUCCUGAGAGGGAGAUCCCCCACACUGGUACUGAGACACGGACCAGACUCCUACGGGAGGCAGCAGUGAGGAAUAUUGGACAAUGGGCGCAAGCCUGAUCCAGCCAUGCCGCGUGCAGGAUGACGGUCCUAUGGAUUGUAAACUGCUUUUGCACAGGAAGAAACAACGCUACGUGUAGCGUCUUGACGGUACUGUGAGAAUAAGGAUCGGCUAACUCCGUGCCAGCAGCCGCGGUAAUACGGAGGAUCCAAGCGUUAUCCGGAAUCAUUGGGUUUAAAGGGUCCGUAGGCGGUUUAGUAAGUCAGUGGUGAAAGCCCAUCGCUCAACGGUGGAACGGCCAUUGAUACUGCUAGACUUGAAUUAUUAGGAAGUAACUAGAAUAUGUAGUGUAGCGGUGAAAUGCUUAGAGAUUACAUGGAAUACCAAUUGCGAAGGCAGGUUACUACUAAUGGAUUGACGCUGAUGGACGAAAGCGUGGGUAGCGAACAGGAUUAGAUACCCUGGUAGUCCACGCCGUAAACGAUGGAUACUAGCUGUUGGGAGCGAUCUCAGUGGCUAAGCGAAAGUGAUAAGUAUCCCACCUGGGGAGUACGUUCGCAAGAAUGAAACUCAAAGGAAUUGACGGGGGCCCGCACAAGCGGUGGAGCAUGUGGUUUAAUUCGAUGAUACGCGA